GGGGCGGCUCCGGGAGCUCCCCGGGCACCGGGCCGGGCCGGGGCUCUGCCCCUGCGGCUCCCCUCGGGCACCGCCGUGGGGAGGGGGUGGAGAGGCCGCGGUGCCCGCCCGAGCUCGGGGUGCGCGCUCUGCGGCUUUGCGCUUUGUUAAAAAGCCCUUCUCCUAAAGCUGCCGCCACCUGGACGCGUAAUUGGGAGUGAAAACAUUCACCCGCCGGCUGCUCUCAUCGGGAGGGAAUCGAGCAUUGUUCUCGCUCGGAAACACUCGGUGCAUUUUGGAGUAUUUGGCAUGUGAAUGAACACCUCUGACCUCUGUUCUAUCUGAGCCAACAAGCUGCCUUCUCAGCUGUGGCCUCAGACACACGAACGCCUCCCACCAGGAUUAAACACUCACCUUUUGGGGGAAAACAUGCCAAGUUAUGCCAUCACCACCUCUGACAGCCAUCCUACUAACUCGUCUGAUCUCCUCCAUUCCUGUUUUCAGAGUCUGAAACAAGGGGAGAGGAGAUUCCCACUCCAUUCAUAAUUACAGUAGUAAGCACACCUGUAGUACUUGCCUUUUGAACGUAUUUUCUGCAUGUUGAUUCAUUUACUAAUUAAAUUUAGUAAUUUUUAAAAAGCCCUAAUCCUUUCCCCUCCCUGCUAUGCCACCAUUCUGCUCUUUAAAAAGAGGAAAGAAAAAAGCUACACUUUGCCAAGUGAGUCAAAAAUAAAUGUGUUGUUCAAGUUUGCAA